CCUUGAAAUACCACCCUUUAAUGUUUGAUGUUCUAACGUUGGCCCCUGAUCGGGGUUGCGGACAGUGUCUGGUGGGUAGUUUGACUGGGGCGGUCUCCUCCUAAAGAGUAACGGAGGAGCACGAAGGUUGGCUAAUCCUGGUCGGACAUCAGGAGGUUAGUGCAAUGGCAUAAGCCAGCUUGACUGCGAGCGUGACGGCGCGAGCAGGUGCGAAAGCAGGUCAUAGUGAUCCGGUGGUUCUGAAUGGAAGGGCCAUCGCUCAACGGAUAAAAGGUACUCCGGGGAUAACAGGCUGAUACCGCCCAAGAGUUCAUAUCGACGGCGGUGUUUGGCACCUCGAUGUCGGCUCAUCACAUCCUGGGGCUGAAGUAGGUCCCAAGGGUAUGGCUGUUCGCCAUUUAAAGUGGUACGCGAGCUGGGUUUAGAACGUCGUGAGACAGUUCGGUCCCUAUCUGCCGUGGGCGCUGGAGAACUGAGGGGGGCUGCUCCUAGUACGAGAGGACCGGAGUGGACGCAUCACUGGUGUUCGGGUUGUCAUGCCAAUGGCACUGCCCGGUAGCUAAAUGCGGAAGAGAUAAGUGCUGAAAGCAUCUAAGCACGAAACUUGCCCCGAGAU
rnacentral:rRNA from 2 species